GACGGAGGGCGCUAGCGUUGUUCGGAAUCACUGGGCGUAAAGGGCGCGCAGGCGGCCGCGUCAGUCGGGCGUGAAAGCCCGGGGCUCAACCCCGGAACGGCGCCCGAGACGGCGCGGCUGGAGGCCGGGAGAGGGGGGUGGAAUAGCCAGUGUAGAGGUGAAAUUCGUAGAUAUUGGCUGGAACACCGGUGGCGAAAGCGGCUCCCUGGCCCGGUCCUGACGCUGAGGCGCGAAAGCGUGGGGAGCAAACAGG
rnacentral:rRNA from 1 species